rnacentral:rRNA from 1 species
AUGGGAAGUGGCAUAGAAGGAUUCAUGGGUGGCAUGGGUGGAUUGAUGGGUGCCAUGGGAGGUGGCAUGGAUGGUGUUGUGGGUGCCAUGGGAGGAGGCAUGGGUGGUGCUAUGAGUGGUGGGAUGGGAGGAGGCAUGGAUGACAAUGGAGACAAUGAAACCAAUGGUGGCAAUGAGACCAAUGUUCCAAGCCAUGGAGGCAAUGGGAACACAAGUGACAAUAGAGGAGAUGAAACUCGAGAGACUAUGUUCUAUGUACUUUUAUCUUUAUUAUGCAAAAAAUGUGUUGGUGAUGCACUAUGCUUAUGGUUUGCAUUUGAAUUUGAUAUGUGGAUUCGAGGUUCAAUUUGA